UACGAAGGGUGCAAGCGUUACUCGGAUUUACUGGGCGUAAAGCGCGCGCAGGCGGAUAUAUAAGUCAGAUGUGAAAUCUCGGGGCUCAACCCCGAAACUGCGUCUGAAACUGUAUAUCUAGAGUCUUGGAGAGGGAAACGGAAUUUCACAUGUAGGGGUAAAAUCCGUAGAGAUGUGAAGGAACACCAGAGGCGAAGGCGGUUUCCUGGCCAAGUACUGACGCUGAGGCGCGAAAGCGUGGGGAGCAAACAGG
rnacentral:misc_RNA from 1 species